AAAGGACCGAUCCCCUCUACGCAUUUGAAUCAUGCCGGUCCUCCUCCUAAAUAUGUGAAAAAUGAAGAUUUUGAUUCUUGGGUCUAUCGCUUCAAGCGUCAUUUAAAACAUGUGAAUACUAACCUUUGGAGAAUUAUUGAAGAAGGUUUCUAUCCUCAUGAUCCAAGCAACUUCACCCCUCGAGAAGAAGUGGACAACCAAUUCAAUGAGAGUGCUCUCUUCAUCAUCCAAGAUGCUAUCCUUCCCGAAGAUCUCCCUCAUCUUCGACCUCAUGUCAUGGCUAAAGAAGCAUGGAAGUGUGUCGAGCCUAUGUAUAGAGGAAGUGCUAGCAUUCAACGCUCCAACUAUGAAGUGGUUCAAGAUGAAGCCGAUGAGUUUGCAAUGAAAGAGGAUGAAGAACCUCGUGAGCUCUUUCGAAGAGUGACCAAACUUGCGGUCGCACUCCGAGAUCAUGGGAGUAAAGACACGGAUGACAAUUGG
rnacentral:rRNA from 1 species